rnacentral:rRNA from 1 species
UAGGGUCGUAAAGGCGACAUGCAGGCGGCCGUCGGUUAACGUUCUAAGAUGUGUAAAGACCCGGGGACGUUAACCCGUCGGUAAAACUUGGACAUUUGAAACUUGGACAGGCNGUAGAGUCUUGUAGAGGGGGGUAGAAUUUCAGGUGUAGCGGUGAAAUGCGUAGAGAUCUGAAGGAAUACCAGUGGCGAAGGCGGCCCCCUGGACAAAGACUGACGCUCAGAUGCGAAAGCGUGGGGAGCAAACAGGAUUAGAUACCCUGGUAG